rnacentral:rRNA from 1 species
UACGUAGGGUGCGAGCGUUGUCCGGAAUUAUUGGGCGUAAAGAGCUCGUAGGCGGUCUGUCGCGUCGGCCGUGAAAACCUGCAGCUUAACUGUGGGCUUGCGGUCGAUACGGGCAUGACUGGAGUUCGGCAGGGGAGACUGGAAUUCCUGGUGUAGCGGUGAAAUGCGCAGAUAUCAGGAGGAACACCGGUGGCGAAGGCGGGUCUCUGGGCCGAUACUGACGCUGAGGAGCGAAAGCGUGGGGAGCGAACAGG